AGAAUCAACGCUGGCGGCGUGCCUAACACAUGCAAGUCGCACGAGAAAGGGGAGCAAUCCCUGAGUACAGUGGCGCACGGGUGAGUAACACGUGAAUAAUCUACCUCCGAGUGGGGAAUAACUGAGAGAAAUCUUAGCUAAUACCGCAUAACACUUACGAGUCAAAGCAGCAAUGCGCUUGGAGAGGAGUUCGCGGCCGAUUAGUUAGUUGGCGGGGUAAUGGCCCACCAAGACGAUGAUCGGUAUCCGGCCUGAGAGGGCGCACGGACACACUGGAACUGAAACACGGUCCAGACUCCUACGGGAGGCAGCAGUGGGGAAUUUUGCGCAAUGGGGGAAACCCUGACGCAGCAACGCCGCGUGGAGGAUGAAGCCCCUUGGGGUGUAAACUCCUUUCGAUCGGGAAGAUAAUGACGGUACCGAUAUAAGAAGCCCGGCUAACUUCGUGCCAGCAGCCGC
rnacentral:rRNA from 1 species